AUGUGUCCAUUCUCUGGCAAAAAAAAAAAAUGGGUCGGAGCAGAAGUUGUAGACAACAGCAAAAGAGAAUGGCGAGCAAAAGAGACGAUUAUGUUCACGCAAUUGCAAGGAAUGGAGAUGCCACCACUAUUGAAUUGAUCAUCUGUUCUAACACUUUAGCUACCAAUUCCAGAGAUAAGCAUUCCAGAACCCCGUAUCCUAUUUCUCUCUCUUUAUUCAAUUGUUGGCAGUUUUUUCUGGAUUGAGAUUGAAUUUUACUGCAUUUAGUUGAACUUGAGUGUUCUAUUAUGUUUAAUAGCUCCUUAUAUUUUUUCUGGUUUGGCUGUAAUUUUGUUGUCUAACUUGAUGAUCUAUCUCUGCUCUUCAUUGAGAAAUCAAAUUGCCGAUGUCUGACUUGUUAGAUCUCUUCACUAGCAGGUUGUUGAAAUUACUGGAUUAAUCUUGACAAAACUCGUUGGUUCCGCUAGGGGUGGUUGUGUGGUCAGCGUGGUAGAUGAGCAAUCGUGAUUAUUGAAGGGAGGAGAUGAAGAUUUUAGAUAACCGAUUUUAGAGGACUUUCAAUAAAUUAAUGCAUGGAAAAUCAAACAAUAUUACAAUGGCAACCGAAAACUCUUGUGUGGAGUACAUAUAUAGUGUUUCAAUGGAGAGAUGCAACUGGUUGGGUGCCUAAUACCUGUGGCACUUAUUGACCUUAUUACAAGCACGAGAAUACGGGUUUGCGACAUAAUCCCCAAUUUUAGCUUUUGGAUCUGCUCCGCAAUGCGGAGGAGGACGGAGUGUCUUGCAUGGAUCGAGGUUUAUAUAAUGCUUUCCUUUAACUUCUGCAUUUGCGACUAGUUGGUUGUUUGUUAUUAGCGCCAUGCUCAUUAUCAAACUCAAAUACACCACUAAUAUAUGCUUCAUUUUAUAAUUUGAGGAAAAUAAAAUCAAAUAUGUUUAGCUAGAUUUAAUUUUCCUUAGAAAAUUAUGUUUUGAUUUUUUGAAAUUUAAAAGAAAUAUCCGUUCUAUUUAUUACUUCGUACAAAACAUUACAUUGUUUUGUUUGGGGGAUAAACUCUGUUUGUUUUGUAUCCACACGUUUUAGAAGGUCUAAAAUUAGAAAAAUAAAAAUUUAAUUAUAGGAAAUUAUUUUCAGAAAGUACCUAUCCUUUUUCACACCAUUACCACAGGUUUUUCUCUAUAAUAACUCGAGCAUAUCUUAUUGGUAAGGAUGAUAUACCUGCCACCUCAAAUAAUAUACCUGAUUCUAGUUGAGGCAACACUAGCUAAAACUACGCUGCACAACAAGGUAUUAUUUCCCAUGUAACUGCCUACUUGGUGUUUGUUACAACUUACAAGGAUGACACAUCAGCCACAUAUUACGGAGUAGUUGAUUAAUAAAUAAUUAAUGCUCUUUUCCUAUUUAUCCUAGCAGGUUAUUACUUGUAAUCUAGCCAGUAGUAUAAAUAGGAUAUUUUGUCCUAAUAGUUGACUAUUCAUUUUUGGUCUUCAUUAACUUGUAAUCAGAGAGCACUUUCUCUCUCCUAUCCCCCUCCCAUUAUUGAAGUAUUAUCUUUGAGCUAUGAGCCUAAGGUUUUGGCGAUAAAUUAUGUUUGAUUUCUUCUUUGUGUUAAUGAUUCUGCAAAUGAUAUUGAUUAAUAAAUCAUUCAUGCUCUUUUCUUAUUUAUCGAUCUUAGCAGGUUAUUAGUUGUAAUCUAGCAAUACUAUAAAUAGGAUAUUUUGUCCUGCUGCUAGAAAAACUAAGUUAUCCUUCCCACAUAGCACAAUUAAAACUACCAAACCAUUUGAGAUUCCACAUGUAGAUGUUCGGGGGCCUUACAAAGCUGAGACUCUUAAUGGUUGUACGUACUGUGUUCUUGACAAUAAUGGAUGAUCGAUCACCUUAUAGCCCCGCUCAGUUUCUUUAUAGGUAUCUCUCAUUGAAAAAAUCGAUUUCCCCCUCUGUUUCAGUUAUAGUGUUUGAGCUACUACUAUAAUUUAGUAUGUUAUAUAUUUGAAUAACGUACCAUUUUGAUAGAAUAUUUGAAUAAGAUAUUGGUUUCAUUGUCUGAUUAGUAAUUUGUGAGGAUUUUGUGAAUUUGAGUAUUGAUGGAUUAAUGGAUUACUAAGAUCAGAACUGAAACUGCAUCUCUGAAGAAUAGCUCAGUUCCUCCAGGUGAGCGACCCAAGUGCAGAAUGAGCUAGUGACUAAUUUGACAAGUAAUGUUGAACAACUCUCUUCGAAAAAUUUGGAACAAGCGAAGGAGAUUGAAGAAACAAAGGUAGUCCUAGUUGAAACAACAACAAAGCUCGAUGAAACAGAAAAAAAACUUGAUGAAACAACAAGACAACUUAAAGAAACAACAGAUGCUAUGAAGGCUAUGCAAGCUCAGAUUCUUUUUCUAACUGAAAAUGUCAUUUUGCGCCAAUCUUGAAUGUUGGUUAUCAGAAGAAAUUGCAUUGCUUUGUGUUAUUUUUAGCUUGAUUAAAAAUAUUUGGACAAUUAGUUUAGCGUAGACUUUUUUUCCGUAGUGAAAGCAGGUAAACAACUCUCAUAUUUAGGUGGAUUACAGGUUAUAUAUUGCAUAUAUAUGCAAUUUUUUGGGAUGAAACUUCUUUUGUAGGCUUUGAAUUGAUCUUUUAAUGAAAGUUUUUAUUAUUUAA